GACGAACGCUGGCGGCGUGCCUAACACAUGCAAGUCAAAGGGAAGCAACUUCGGUUGUAAGUACUUGGCGCAAGGGUGAGUAAUGUAUAGGUAAUCUGCCCUUUGGACUGGGAUAACCCCGAGAAAUCGGGGACAAUACCAGAUGACGCAGCGGGACCGCAUGGUACUGUUGUUAAAGAUUUAUCGCCAAAGGAUGAGCCUAUAUCCCAUCAGGUAGUUGGCAGGGUUAAAGCCUACCAAGCCUACGACGGGUAGCUGGUCUGAGAGGACGGUCAGCCACACGGGGACUGAGACACGGCCCCGACUCCUACGGGUGGCAG
rnacentral:rRNA from 1 species